GGGGGUGUAGCUCAGUGGUAGAGCGCUUGCCUAACAUGGAACAAGUCCUGGGUUCCAUCCUCAGCACCACUU
rfam:Ictidomys tridecemlineatus contig001070, whole genome shotgun sequence.